rnacentral:lncRNA from 1 species
GUUGAAUAUGAACCCAAGGUAGACGUCAUCCGGUAUCAGAAGAACCGUUCUGUUUCCCUGCAGGACUGCUGUCAUCACAACAACCUGUUGGACUGUAUGACCAUGAUAUAGGAUGCAUCCCACAUGGCAGCCUGUUCCCUUUAUAGUGCACUACUUUGGAAAGGGUCCAUAGGGUAGUGCACUACUGUUGACCAGGGUCCAAUAGGGUAUGCACUACUGUUGCCAGGGUCCAUAGGGUAGUGCAAUACUGUUGACCAGGGUCCAAUAGGGUAGUGCACUACUGUUGACCAGGGUCCCAUAGGGUAGUGCACUACUGUUGACCAGGGUCCAAUAGGGUAGUGCACUCUGUUGACCAGGGUCCAAUGGGUAGUGCACUACUGUUGACCAGGGUCCAUAGGUAUACAGUGUUGACCAGGGCCCAUUGGGUAGUACACUACUGUUGAUCUGGUCCAUAGGGUAGUGCACUACUGUUGACCACGGUCCAUAGGGUGUGCACUACUUUGGACCAGGGUCCAUAGGGUAGUGCACUACUGUUGACCAGGGUCCAUAGGGUAGUGCCUACUGUUGACCAGGGUCAUAGGUAGUGCACUACUGUUGACCUGGGUCCAAUAGGGUAGUGCACUACUGUUGACCUGGGUCCAUAGGGUAGUGCACUACUGUUGACCUGGGUCCAAUAGGGUAGUGCACUACUGUUGACCAGGGCCCAUAGGGUAGUGCACUACUGUUGACCAGGGUCCAUAGGGCUCUAUACAGAGAAUAGGGUGCUGUUUAGGACCCAGCCAUAGUGAAUAUGAUCCAAGCGUAGUAGAUAUGAUCUGAGUGUUGAUCGUUCGUUCCACACACUCUGUCUGUCGGACACUGGCCUUCAUUUCCAGGGCUUUCCAAAAGCAGAGUGAUGAAUGACACUUGGGAGGAUUAGGGUCAGUCUAGACCAGAGGGAGUCAGUCAAGGAUAGGAUGGCCAUCUAGACCAGAGGGGUCAGUCAGUCAAGGAUGGAUGGCCCGUCUAGACCAGAGGGGCAUCAGUCAAGGAUGGAUGGCCAGUCUAGACCAGAGGGGGUCAGUCAAGGAUGGGGAUGGCCAGUCUAGACCAGAGGGGGGUCAGUCAAUAAUGGGAUGGCCAGUCUAGACCAGAGGGGGUCAGUCAAGGAUGGAUGGCCAGUCUAGACCAGAGGGGGUCAGUCAGUCAAGGCGAAAACAGACCACGCUGACCAGAGGUAAUUAGCAGCAGGUGACCAUUCUUAACGCCUCUGACCACCGAACAUCAUCCUCCAUUUUCUAUUCAUUUCCCGACCAUUCUACAUGUUGAAUCGCCACCUUUGUUGACGCCCAGCAGGUGAUCUACCGCYCUCAGCUG